UUAUUAUUACGCUAUCUGUUAUUUUCUAGGAAUAGUCAGUUCACAGUUGCCAUACUUUAGGUAUUAUAUACAUAAAAAGAUGUGACUGAAAGUGUGUUAUUACAUUUUUGUUUAAAAAGAAACCACGGAGACGUUUUCUUUUCUAGAUGACCUUUAUUGUGAAAACACUGACUAUACUAACUGGCUCAAAAGGUUCAAAUAUUACAUUAGCGUUCAUUUUAAACACAAUUUACACAUUGCUAGAGCGAAGGAAUGAAGGGGCAAAUGUCAAAUAAAUAAAUAAAUAAAUAAAUAAAUAAAUAAAUAAAUAAAUAAAUAAAUGUAUCACCCCUAUAGGCCCCCAUACAGGGGAGGAUUUAUGAAUCGAAUAAAUGGCGCCCAGACUUCUUCACCUGGCUGCUUGUGCGCAUGCUCACACGCGAUGCUCACAAACGGAAUGACGGGACUAAUUGGAGUGGCGCGAAUACUUCGGCCAAACGUUUAGCAACUUCUUUCAGCUACAGACAUCUUCGAGUGACAGACAUCUAAUUUGUGACAGUAGGUGGAUGUGGUGGUGGCAAAGGUCCUGCACCUCUAACCUCUGACAGUGAACGUGGUUCAGCUUUCUGCUGUUCAGGCCGCUCCAGUCAUUCUUUAUGUUACGCUGCCGCCUCAUGAAAGGACACCGUGAGUUUGUUUGGUGGACUGGAACGGCAUCAAAGCAAAGAACAGAGGCGCGUGUGCCGGGCUGUCGCUGAAGUGAGAACCGCUCCACGGCUGCUUGGUUUGAACAGAUGAAAGGGUUAAUCUCAUUUGACGACAUACAACCGUUCCUGGCCGAAGGGGGCAAUUUCACGAUUGGCCCCCGGUGGAUUGAACAUACGACCCACGGGCGACACUACCUGUUCCACCACUACCCCGGAUGGCGCCACUCCUGGAAGGAGCACAUCAGAAGGACUCCCACCUUGGUGAAGAACAGCUUCGCCACAGAUGGCUCUCUCAACAACAGCCUACAGACAAAAGUUCACUUUAUUCACUGUGGGCAGUGUGAGGAGAAUGAAUGCAUCAGCAUCACCACAGAGGCGCAGAACAUGGAGGUUUACGCUGUACCCUGAGUGGGAGACGAGAUGAGGGAUGUUUCCAUCUAUCUUUCAAGAAGUAAUGAAGUCAUCAUCCCUGCAAAAGAUGUGUCCUGACCCUGUCGUAUCCUGAUGGUGUGAUGAUGACACUGACCGGAGGACGGAACAGAGAGAGGACGAGUCUGGAACGGAGAUGAACGGAAAAAAAGCAUGGGAAGAAGAAUAAGGAAAAGAUAAACUUCUACCCUGGGAGAGAUUGUUGUGGACAGUCCUGCAUUGGGACACAUGUCGCCCACAGACAGCAUGUCACAACAACCGCAAACCGUAGCGAUUGGCUCCAGCUUGUCCCCGGCUCUGCUCAGAUCAUCGGCUUCGUGCCGGGAGUUUCCUGGGAGAAAUCGGCUUCACUUAGUGUCUUCAGAGACGCAGGAGAAACGGCAAACCGCCGUGACUGAAGCGACGCAGCACAACACUCCGCUUUCAUCAUCAAAGGGUCCGAGCGGGGCCUCGGAGUGGCCGAAGCCUAGCGACGGCUCACGGCCGCGCGGAGGUGGAAUCAAAGCGGGGUCGGAACCGCCGCGGUGCGGCCGGUUCGACCCGCGAAGCGGCCGGUUCGACCCGCGACACGGGUGCAGAUCAGACGUCAGCGGCGUCAGGAUCGGGUUCUGUCUGAACCUCAGUGUUUGACACGAGCGCUGAGACUGUCUAUCGCUCCCCUUCUGUCGCUUUUAUCUGCCGUUUGAAUAUUUGCUUCGGCGAGAAGAGAGACGAGGAUGAGGGGGGGUGUGAUGUAAGAAAGGUUAAGAGGCAUCGCAAGGAGAGUGAAGAGGAGACGAAGGGAGAGAAAGUGAGAUGAGACGGGAGAGUGACAGAUGGGCCCAAAGAAGAGAGGGCUGCUGGGUUCAGCACUGCGGCACAGCUCAGCAUAUGACAGCUUUACAGUGGGCUCCGUGUGUGUGUGUGUGUGUGUGUGUGUGUGUGUGUGUGUGUGUGUGUGUGUGUGUGUGUGUGUGCGCAGCCCGGCCCAGCCCGGCCCGUGGUGUGUGUACGCACAUGCUCGCGUCCGUGCCUUGGCGCCGCGCCACUGUUUACCUACGGCGCUUUCUGUGUGUUGAACACAGCCAGAGGGACAGCUCCACCUGCUCCGCUUCCCUCCGCCUCGCGCUCCCCAGCAGCUCCACUCAUCCAUCGCUGUGUUGACUUAAGCAGUGGUAAAUCAGUGUGUGUGUGUGUGUGUGUUAGCACAUGUUGCCUUAGCGCUCGGCACAUUUCUCACCCGUCUUAAACGCAGCGAUAUUUGUUUACACAUGUUGCCGCAAUCAUUUGAUCGCCGCCGCGUCUUUUCCGAUACGUCGGCCCUCCCAGAAUGCAACGCUCCUCAGAAAUAGGCCGCUCUUUGAUGAGCGCUACGCCGUAAAACACAGCCGCUCCGGCCCCCUCUGGUCGUCUUCCUCACCGCCAGUCGUAAUUUCUGCACUUCCUGCCUCUCGGCGUUGGCUGUGAUCUGUGGGGCCGAGGUGAGAGGUCGCGGGGACCAGGUGUGCCGCGUGCUCCGCUACCUUUGUGCGUCCUGCUGUUAAUCUGGCGCGGCGCGGGCACAUUUUGUUCUAUUGUUCCCUCCGUGACUUAGGUGCGAUGCAAAGCGGCUUCUGCCCGGCUGCCAGGACUUUACAAAAUGAUUUGGAUCGGGUUUUGUUGGCAAUUAGCACUUUGGGUCUGGCAUAGACAACGGUGUGUGUAGAAUCAGUGUCAGCACGAAGCAAAGCUUUUAGAAAAGUUAAACUUCACAGAGUGAAACAGAGUUACAGGCAACAUUUAGAUUCUCAAUAAAACAUGUCUCUAUUUGCUAUUGAUCAGGUACAAGCCUGUUCUACAAUAAAGUCUAGCUGCCAGUGGCACUUUCUCACAAAUGCGUUAUUAUAGGCUCAUCGUUUCUGCAUUUAUUAAUUGUUUUGCUUCCUUGAAGUAUAUUGAUCUUCUGUUUCUACUCAGGCUCAAGGCUGAGGCAGAUUUGGUUAAACAUCAGUGAAUCAGGUCUUCAGUUAUUUCUGUGUGAGCAGUGUAAUCUUCAUUCUGUUCUGUGUCUGUUGUUUGUCUGUUGCGCUCCUUGUGAUUCAGGUCCUUCCAGUUUGACUGAGUCUCAGAUUUAGCAAACGCUCUAUUGACAUUGGCAUAAAGUCGAUACAGAGACGGAUGGUGCAGUGGACUUUAUGUAAAACCCGUUAACUUGGCCUGACCUCCAAUAAAUAAGUCUUUAUGUUACUUUAAAUAUGUUUGUACAGAGUCACUGAUGCUUGUCGUUGUUUUAUUUCUAAGAAACAUACUUAAAAUACCAAAUAGAUUUUUGUAAACUACUGAAUUACAUUUACUGGGGUGAUAUUGUGUCACAAAGUGUAUAAAUGUAUUUUAUGAAUUGUUCAUGGAUGAAUUAAAGACAGAAGUUUAUAAACUGUGACAAUUUACUUCAUAAAGAAAAGACUUUGUCAAGUCUGGUUAGAUAUAAACCCUGCUCCUUGGUUCAUGUACUGUAUCUGCAGGCUUUUGUACCUGAACCUCUCCAUGUAAAGCAUCUGUAGCGGCGCCGGGGCCUCGCUGUGAUAGAUGUCAGAGAGGCGUUUUACUGCUGUAAGGUCAGAGCGGUGCCUCUGGUUUGGAAGAGACAGGCAGAGGCCAGCGGAGGCGAUGCGCUCUGCUUCAAAAUGGGAGCUGAGGAUGUGACUGUCACACACGGCUGAUCCGGAUUCAGAGCGCGCAUUGUGUCGGCUCAUAUGCAUGCGGGACACACGCUGGCAAAAACACACACGUCGUGGGCCCGCGGCUUGUUUGCAGAGCGGCAACCUAAACACGCAGCUUUAAUUCACAGCUGAUCGGCCUUUGACAAAGGAGCAGGGCAUUUAGGGCCCAUGGCUCCUAUUUAAAGCGCUGAGGUGGAUCACAAGCGGGUCGAGCAGGGCUCUGUAAAACCAGGCACGGAUUUCACAAGGGCUGUGGGGAAACACUGGAUCAAUGUCAACGGGAAGUUGAUUUUACAUUGUGUAAAGGCUGGGGACAUGUUCUUAUGCAUGAAAUCCAUCAUGGGAGCGUCAAUAUCUCAGAUCAGGAAGAAGAGAGGAGGAGAAAGAAACAGGGAUGAGACCAGAGAUGGAUGAACAUACAGCUGACGUAGGGAUGGGAGAAAUAGAGAGACGGUAUGUGAGACAUUUGGAAAGAGUCGUCUGCAUGUGUCUGCAUCUUGUGGCCUGUAACUUACCAUUUGUCAUGAGUCAGGAAUGAAAGGGGGGCAGCAGUGGAAACCACAAGCGAUCUCUUUUCUCCUUCAUUCAAUUUGUGCUGUCAUCUCGUUUCUCUUCCUUCUGGUUCCACUUUGUCUGUUUAGACUGUGUGUGCGUGCGUGCUUGUGCGUUUUGUGUGUGUGUGUGUGUGUGUAGGCCUUACCUCCCAGAUGCAUCUGCAGCGCUGCAGCAUAUUUAUGAUUUGUGUGUUGUUGCAUGUGGAAACGUUUGCUGCUCUUCACAAAUACACAGUGGCAUGUUUUCAAUGUUUUCAGUGUUGUGUGUUUAUUUCAUGGAGGUACACGUGUUGUAGUAACGCACC